AGAGACAAGGAAAUGCUGUCACCGCUGUUAACACGCACGUGGAGGGAAGACUGGGUUUUAGUCCUGUCUCCAUCAACCUCAAGAUAUGGGACCUCAUGGAAGGGAGGGGAGGCAAUGCCGAGGAUGUGCUCCUGAGCAGGUGCCACAAUUCUUCACCUAUAAGGCUGAUCUAAGAAGAUUCCUAAUUAUCAAUUGGGAGCAGAGAUAUUCCACUUCCAAUUACAUGGCCCUGCCUGCUCACUCUUACUUCCUAUUCACACUCUCUUGGAGGCCACUUUGUGAUUCUACCAAAUCCUAUAGGAGAGGUGACAACCCCAAAGAGAAGGCUCUAGAAAGAUGACAUUUGGAAAUGUGUACGCUAGUGUCUGCUGGCUCCUCCCGAGCCACUUUUACUCUGUGAUUGAGAUGAAAGGCCACCUAACUGCCUAAAUCACCACAAAGGGACAAACUGGUAUCUCAGAGCACUCAGCAACAAAAACAAGCAAGCUAAGCCUCUGCACUGCAAUGUGGCAGGGCUUCUGGCUAGGUAUAGCAAGCAAUUCUGAUGUGGAGACAAACAGCAGCAAUGGAAAUGAUAUGCCAAUGAAGGAUUCCAACAGUUGGGUCUGCAAGCAUGCUUGUCCUGUGACACAAACAGCCUAGACAUCUCAGCACUGCUUGGAGCUGCUCACUGGGGGAGCCUAAGAAACAUCAGCCCUUUCACAACCUUUUGCUCCUGAGCAGAGCUCAUCUCCCAAGAGCACAUCAGCCCGCAGCCCAGUCUGACGAGAAGCACAGUAUUCCCCUGUGCCAGUGGCAGCCUCAGAGCAUCCUGAAAGAGCGCUUCCUAGACACGCAGUGGAAGCCAUGACUUCCCCUAAGCUGCCGGUGCUGCCUCUGAACUCACGUGGAGGUUCUUUUUUCAGUGUCCCC
rnacentral:antisense_RNA from 1 species